rnacentral:rRNA from 1 species
UAAGCGACUAAGCGUACACGGUGGAUGCCUAGGCAGUCAGAGGCGAUGAAGGGCGUGCUAAUCUGCGAAAAGCGUCGGUAAGCUGAUAUGAAGCGUUAUAACCGACGAUACCCGAAUGGGGAAACCCAGUGCAAUACGUUGCACUAUCGUUAGAUGAAUACAUAGUCUAACGAGGCGAACCGGGGGAACUGAAACAUCUAAGUACCCCGAGGAAAAGAAAUCAACCGAGAUUCCCCCAGUAGCGGCGAGCGAACGGGGAGGAGCCCAGAGUCUGAAUCAGUUUGUGUGUUAGUGGAAGCGUCUGGAAAGUCGCACGGUACAGGGUGAUAGUCCCGUACACCAAAAUGCACAGGCUGUGAACUCGAUGAGUAGGGCGGGACACGUGACAUCCUGUCUGAAUAUGGGGGGACCAUCCUCCAAGGCUAAAUACUCCUGACUGACCGAUAGUGAACCAGUACCGUGAGGGAAAGGCGAAAAGAACCCCGGCGAGGGGAGUGAAAUAGAACCUGAAACCGUGUACGUACAAGCAGUGGGAGCACCUUCGUGGUGUGACUGCGUACCUUUUGUAUAAUGGGUCAGCGACUUAUAUUUUGUAGCAAGGUUAACCGAAUAGGGGAGCCGUAGGGAAACCGAGUCUUAACUGGGCGUCUAGUUGCAAGGUAUAGACCCGAAACCCGGUGAUCUAGCCAUGGGCAGGUUGAAGGUUGGGUAACACUAACUGGAGGACCGAACCGACUAAUGUUGAAAAAUUAGCGGAUGACUUGUGGCUGGGGGUGAAAGGCCAAUCAAACCGGGAGAUAGCUGGUUCUCCCCGAAAGCUAUUUAGGUAGCGCCUCGUGAACUCAUCUUCGGGGGUAGAGCACUGUUUCGGCUAGGGGGCCAUCCCGGCUUACCAAACCGAUGCAAACUCCGAAUACCGAAGAAUGUUAUCACGGGAGACACACGGCGGGUGCUAACGUCCGUCGUGAAGAGGGAAACAACCCAGACCGCCAGCUAAGGUCCCAAAGUCAUGGUUAAGUGGGAAACGAUGUGGGAAGGCACAGACAGCCAGGAUGUUGGCUUAGAAGCAGCCAUCAUUUAAAGAAAGCGUAAUAGCUCACUGGUCGAGUCGGCCUGCGCGGAAGAUGUAACGGGGCUAAACCAUGCACCGAAGCUGCGGCAGCGACACUUAGGUGUUGUUGGGUAGGGGAGCGUUCUGUAAGCCGUUGAAGGUGACCUGUGAGGGUUGCUGGAGGUAUCAGAAGUGCGAAUGCUGACAUAAGUAACGAUAAUGCGGGUGAAAAACCCGCACGCCGGAAGACCAAGGGUUCCUGUCCAACGUUAAUCGGGGCAGGGUGAGUCGACCCCUAAGGCGAGGCUGAAAAGCGUAGUCGAUGGGAAACAGGUUAAUAUUCCUGUACUUGGUGUUACUGCGAAGGGGGGACGGAGAAGGCUAGGCUGGCCGGGCGACGGUUGUCCCGGUUUAAGCGUGUAGGGGGAGUGACCAGGUAAAUCCGGUUGCUUAUCAACCCUGAGGCGUGAUGACGAUGCACCACGGUGCAGAAGCAGUUGAUGCCAUGCUUCCAGGAAAAGCCUCUAAGCAUCAGGUAACAUUAAAUCGUACCCCAAACCGACACAGGUGGUCAGGUAGAGAAUACUCAGGCGCUUGAGAGAACUCGGGUGAAGGAACUAGGCAAAAUGGUGCCGUAACUUCGGGAGAAGGCACGCUGGCGUUAGGUGAAAGGACUAGCUCCUGGAGCUGAAGCCAGUCGCAGAUACCAGCUGGCUGCAACUGUUUAAUAAAAACACAGCACUGUGCAAACACGAAAGUGGACGUAUACGGUGUGACGCCUGCCCGGUGCUGGAAGGUUAAUUGAUGGGGUCAGCCGCAAGGGGAAGCUCUUGAUCGAAGCCCCAGUAAACGGCGGCCGUAACUAUAACGGUCCUAAGGUAGCGAAAUUCCUUGUCGGGUAAGUUCCGACCUGCACGAAUGGCGUAAUGAUGGCCAGGCUGUCUCCACCCGAGACUCAGUGAAAUUGAACUCGCUGUGAAGAUGCAGUGUACCCGCGGCAAGACGGAAAGACCCCGUGAACCUUUACUAUAGCUUGACACUGAACAUUGAGCCUUGAUGUGUAGGAUAGGUGGGAGGCCUUGAAGUGUGGACGCCAGUCUGCAUGGAGCCAACCUUGAAAUACCACCCUUUAAUGUUUGAUGUUCUAACUCGGCCCCAUGAUCUGGGGUGAGGACAGUGUCUGGUGGGUAGUUUGACUGGGGCGGUCUCCUCCCAAAGAGUAACGGAGGAGCACGAAGGUUAGCUAAUCACGGUCGGACAUCGUGAGGUUAGUGCAAAGGCAUAAGCUAGCUUGACUGCGAGAGUGACGGCUCGAGCAGGUACGAAAGUAGGUCUUAGUGAUCCGGUGGUUCUGAAUGGAAGGGCCAUCGCUCAACGGAUAAAAGGUACUCCGGGGAUAACAGGCUGAUACCGCCCAAGAGUUCAUAUCGACGGCGGUGUUUGGCACCUCGAUGUCGGCUCAUCACAUCCUGGGGCUGAAGUAGGUCCCAAGGGUAUGGCUGUUCGCCAUUUAAAGUGGUACGCGAGCUGGGUUUAGAACGUCGUGAGACAGUUCGGUCCCUAUCUGCCGUGGGCGUUGGAAGAUUGAGAGGGGCUGCUCCUAGUACGAGAGGACCGGAGUGGACGAAUCACUGGUGUUCGGGUUGUCAUGCCAAUGGCAUUGCCCGGUAGCUAAAUUCGGAAGAGAUAACCGCUGAAAGCAUCUAAGCGGGAAACUUGCCUCGAGAUGAGUCUUCCCUGGGGCUUAAAGCCCCCUGAAGGAACGUUAAAGACUAUGACGUUGAUAGGCUGGGUGUGUAAGUGCAGCGAUGUAUUGAGCUAACCAGUACUAAUGAUCCGUGAGGCUUAACCU